rnacentral:rRNA from 1 species
UAUUGGACAAUGGGGGGAACCCUGAUCCAGCGACGCCGCGUGAGUGAAGAAGUAUUUCGGUAUGUAAAGCUCUAUCAGCAGGGAAGAAAGAAAUGACGGUACCUGACUAAGAAGCACCGGCUAACUACGUGCCAGCAACCGCGGUAAUACGUAGGAGGCGGGCGUUAUCCGGAAUGACUGGGCGUAAAGGGUGCGUAGGUGGUUUGGCAAGUUAGUAGCGUAACUCCAAGGCUCAACCUUGGAACUACUACUAAAACUGUUGGACUUGAGUGCAGGAGGGGCAACCGGAAUUCCUAGUGUAGCGGUAGAAUGCGUAGAUAUUAGGAGGAACACCAGUGGCGAAGGCGGGUUGCUAGACUGUAACUGACACUGAGGCACGAAAGCGUGGGGAGCAAACAGG